CGCCUGGCCAUUUCACCAACCCAUUUACGGACCACAGGCUCCAGCCUUAGUCGCACCCAACAACGAUGUGGGCUCGGACGGUAUGGUCAUGAACUUGGCUAGCUUAUUGGCUGGGACAGUAACGAACCCUUUUGGAAAUGGUUACUAUCAGGGACCAGCUGAUGCACCAUUAGAAGCUGCGUCAGCUUGCACUGGGGUUUAUGGAAGUGGGGCCUACCCUGGCUAUGCUGGCAAUCUUUUGGUGGACCCUACUACUGGUGCUAGCUACAAUGCGCAUGGUGCUAAUGGGAGGAAGUUCUUGCUCCCUGCAUUAUUCGACCCUUCUACGUCUUCAUGUUCUACGUUGGUUUAAGAAGAUCAUUUCUUAAUCAAUUAGCAAGCUACUUACAAAGAGAGUUGUAUUAGGGAAAUCUAGAUAAUAGGAUAUUCUUUUAUUCAAAUUCAUUCUUUUGUCUCGAUUGAUUAAUAAAAUUCCUGAAAUUAUUCUUACAUGUUUUUCUAUUAUUUUAUAUAGCACAGUGGUAUUAUUGGUUACACUUUGUGUCAUUUUACUUUCAAUUUUUGACAAGAUGAAGACCUUAUUAUCCUUGUAAAAAAAAAGAAUUUUGUUAUAAGAAGGAAUAUAGUUGAAUGGGCGGUACUGUUCUAAUUUUGUCCAAUUUAUUA
rnacentral:lncRNA from 1 species